UUGGUUUGUUUUGUUUUUUUAUCUUUGUAUGCCAAUAAAGUCAUACUCCGAAUUUUACAUAAGUUCAAUUUCAAAUUGAAUUCUAUCAUAUCGAAACGUGGCUGCGACCCCACAUUAAGACGGAUGGAAUGGUCAAAUGGUCUAAAAAAUACAGCUCAUUGCAUUUUUCACAAGCACCCGUUGUUACGGGGUGUAUGAUCAAAACAACAAUGCUCUGCUAAACUAGGUUUGGUUGGUACGCGGGUCGGUAAUUCAAAAGAGAAAUUGCUUUCUCAAUUGAAUUGGUUUUGAGGGAUGUGGUAAUGAUCCUUCCGCAGGUUCACCUACGGAAA
rnacentral:misc_RNA from 1 species